UGCGGCAGACGGCGGGCUGCGGGCAGAGCAGGCUGUUGCAGGGCACGCUGGGCCGCAGGCAAGGAGACCAAAGUACAGGAGGAUUGAAUAAUUGCCCCAGGCCACACAAUCAAGCAAGACUUGGAACCCAAGCAGUUUGGUUACAGAGUCCAGGCAGUAAUGACCCAGCCAUGCCACCUUUCAGCUGGUAAACAGCCAGGUUUACUCUGAUUAUUUCCAGCCUACAUGGAUCCUGCUCAACUCUUUUCUACUUAUUGCCUCAACCACACGACUUAACAUUUCAUUGUAAAAAGUCUUGGUUUGUAUAUUAAGAUCUUCUCUCUCUAAUAAGUUGCAUUUGUUCCAGCUGCCUAUGACAAGCAUCCUUCAUGACUGCACCGAAUGCCUUCGAUCACGGUGCCCAUGUCACUUCUCUCUCUAGCCUGUCCUUUCCAUUCUCUUCACUGUUUAUCAAACUCUACUCAUGGAUUUAGGCUUGGCUAAGGCUCACCACUUCCCCCAAACCUUCCCAGAUACCUCCCCAGGCAAGAUGCAUAUGUUUGUCCUCUGUGCUCCUGUGUACCUGGGUUGCAGAAUAUCUCUGUCUCAUGUGUUACAGAAGGUAGGGUGUGUUUCAGCCUCUCCCACUAAAUUGGGAGCUCUAUAAAGGUCAAGAUCAUGUCUUACUAAUCUUGGUUUUCUUUAGUGCCUACUACAGUGCCUGACACAAUACAAGGACUCAAUAAAAGUUUGUUAAA